UGCUCUCUGUCACCUGCAUCGAUGCCU
rnacentral:piRNA from 1 species